rnacentral:rRNA from 1 species
CAGCCGCCGCGGUAAUACGAGGGGGGCAAGCGUUGUUCGGAUUUAUUGGGCGUAAAGGGCUCGCAGGCGGUUUCUUAAGUCUGAUGUGAAAGCCCCCGGCUCAACCGGGGAGGGUCAUUGGAAACUGGGAAACUUGAGUGCAGAAGAGGAGAGUGGAAUUCCACGUGUAGCGGUGAAAUGCGUAGAGAUGUGGAGGAACACCAGUGGCGAAGGCGACUCUCUGGUCUGUAACUGGCGCUGAGGAGCGAAAGCGUGGGGAGCGAACAGGAUUAGAUACCCCGGUAGUCCCUGUCUCUUAUAC